UACGGAGGAUGCAAGCGUUAUCCGGAUUUAUUGGGCUUAAAGGGUGCGCAGGUUGUUUGAUAAGUCAGUGGUGAAAGUCUGUCGCUUAACGGUAGGAUUGCCAUUGAUACUGUUAGACUUGAAUAUGGAUGAGGUAGGCGGAAUGUGUAGUGUAGCGGUGAAAUGCAUAGAUAUUACACAGAACACCGAUUGCGAAGGCAGCUUACUAAUCCAUCAUUGACGCUGAGGCACGAAAGCGUGGGGAGUCAAA
rnacentral:rRNA from 1 species